rnacentral:rRNA from 1 species
AAUGAACGUUGGCGGCAUGGAUUAGGCAUGCAAGUCGGGGGAAUCCCAGCAAUGGGGGAACCGGCGUAAGGGGCAGUAAGGCAUGGGUACCUACCUUGGGGUUCGGGAUAGCUAUCAGAGAUGGUGGGUAAUACCGGAUGACGUCGUGAGACCAAAGAUUCAUCGCCCUUAGAGGGGCCCAUGUGAUAUUAGCUAGUUGGUGGGGUAACGGCCCACCAAGGCGAAGAUGUCUAGCGGGUGUGAGAGCACGACCCGCGCCACUCGCACUGAGACACUGGCGAGACACCUACGGGUGGCUGCAGUCGAGGAUCUUCGGCAAUGAGCGCAAGCUUGACCGAGCGAUGCCGCGUGAGCGAUGAAGGCCUUCGGGUUGUAAAGCUCUUUAGUGGGGGAGAAAAGCCGCAAGGUGUGAUCUAUCCCAAAAAUAAGCACGGGCUAAGUUCGUGCCAGCCGCCGCAGUAA